rnacentral:lncRNA from 1 species
GAUAGUUUGUCCUAAGGAUAGUUUAGUCCCAAUACUGAAGUGUGAGCUUUCUGGGAUCUUUACUGUGUUCCCUGUGUGUUCAGUAAGGUCUUUCCCCUCUGACUGUUAUAAACUCAAAAGUCUUGCUCCUGCCCUGUGUGAGCUCUGGGAACUGGUAUGCCUGCAGUGUCCUGGUACUCUUUCCUUCUGUGGUCGUUGUUCUGUGCCCAGCAUCAUGGAGGACUGGCUUAAGCACGUGCAUCUUAGCAUUAAGCCAAAUUUUCUAGCGGAUUUGUCUGCAGUUUUAUGGAAGUCAUUCUUGCGAAGCACUCUCUUUUCUGGGACACUGCUCCAUGCAUUUCAGCCACCUCUACCCCCUAACUCUGAUUUCUGUCUCGUGAACUCAGUGAAAACACAGAGUUCUUUCUAAAUUUCUCUUCCCUGAGCCAUGGGCCAGAAAGUGCCUAUAGACAGAAAGCCUAGGUGAUUCACCCUGUUUUCCUUCUUUUGGUGACCACAUUCCUGCCCUUCUUGUGCUAUAUUCGAAUAUAUAUUUUGUCUGACUUUAUAGCUGUUUAUCAUAAGAAUACAAGUCCUGUUCCAGUUACUCCAUCAUGACCAGAAGCAAAAAUAUCUAAUUUUUAAGGGGUAGUUCUCCAGCUGAAAUUAUCUAAAAAUAAUUCCCAUACAUCUAUUUCUAAACUAUAUACCCAUAAAUAUUAGAUUGAAUUACACAAAUAAAUAAAAUUAUGUAAGUAAAACAUUACUUUCUUGAGAUAGUUUGAGCUAUAAACAAAUAAUUGCCAUAUGUACUAGAAAGAUAGUUUUGAAUAUGUCCCACUUUUGGAUGGCCAUGUUACAGACUUGGUUCUACCACUUCAUAGUUCUAUAAUUUGAGAAGAACUCAUGCAAUAAAGAAGACAUGGAAUGAAGAGGUUUGGAGGUAAAGACCCAUCCAUAAAUAGAAGAGCUGGGGUGGGGGGCAGUGAGAGGUGAGGGGGUUGAGUGCUGAGGAAAGGUGUUACAAAUCUGGUAGCAUCUGGAAUCACCAUGCCGAAUUAGUUAAGUAUUCUGGGAACUGAGCAUCAGUGGGACUAUCUUGAGAAUGAAAUCCAUUAAAUGAAUUUGCUUCUGGACUCUUUGUUCUAUAAUUUUAAGUGAUCCUGUCAGUUGGAAACUCAUCUGAUGAUGAACUUGACCUUUAGUAAACCUCAGUGUACUCACUAAUGUAUCAAAAGAAUUACUGGUAAUGCAUCCUGAUGAUAGAUUAACACACUGUAAUAUGCCACUGGAGUAGAGCUUUCAUACUCUAUUCCUCCAAAAUAAUGUCCAGGGAAUGAUAGGUUCUGAAGAUGAUUCCAUUUAAUUAGCCUGGAAAGUGCAAUGAUACCAUGAACUGUUUUAAUUCUUUCAGUAUAAGAUGAUUUGGAGAUAGGAUUAGGAUGAAGAAGUUAUCUGUGGCCCCUGGAAAGAGACUUUUCCAUUCUCUGGACUUUCCCAAUAGGAAAGUUUCCAUUUUGGAGUUACCUCGCUUUGGGUAUUCUCAGUAAUCAACCCGAAUGGGUUCUUUGCCUAGGAAUAGAUAGCGAGCAUAUACCAGAGAUGUUGUUAAGAAGUUAAUUUUUUUUUUUUAAUGGAGCCUGGUCAGGCAACCACACAUGUGAUGUGAUACAGAAUUACUUUUAUUCUAUUUAAGGGGUUCAAGAUGGAGAGGUAGGGCUGACAAAAUAAUUCAGGAGUAAGACCGAGGUGAUGAACAGAUUUCAUUUUGUGCAUUAUUUCUGAUUAAUUUGGUAGCAGUUACCUAAAAGGUUGUUUUGAGAAAGUUUUUGAGGCAGUAGCCAGGCUCUGUGGGAAAAUGUGUGAUGAUCAAUUAAUGGUGACUGCUUUCUGAGUCUGAGUAGAAGAGGAGAAAGUGGAGUGGAAACACUUUUAUUUUUCUUUCUUUCUUUCUUUCUUUCUUUCUUUCUUUCUUUCUUUCUUUCUUUCUUUCUUUCUUUCUUUCCUUCCUUCCUUCCUUCCUUCCUUCCUUCCUUCCUUCCUUCUUUCUUUUUUUGUUAUCCCUUGCAAGUAGAAACUAGGAUUGCUAUAAAUUAUAUUUUGAGAAAAGAAAAGCAAAGUCAUGGGGCACAUGAGUACAGAGUCAGAUUACUGUGCUAUAUUACACUGUGUUUGAGAGUUAAGCUCUAAAAGUUCAAUAUGGCCCAAGUGAGGAAGGUGCUGUAUGUGCAUCAGUGAGAGAAGAUAACAGACUGUGGCUGACUCUGUUAAAUGGAAAAUAACAAAGUGAAUUUUAGAUUACCUUGCAGAUGAUUUUUUUGUUUUCUUUUUAGGGCUGCACUUGUGGCGUAUGGAAGUUCUCAGGCUUGGGAUUGAAUCAGAGCUGCAGCUGCUGGCCUACACUACAGCCACAGCAAUGAUGGAUCCUUAACCCCCUGAGUGAGGCCAGGGAAUCAAACCCACAUCCUCUAGUUACUAGUUGGGCUCAUUACUGCUGAGCCACAACAGGAUCUCCAGUAUUCAAACUCUUAAACUUAUAAGUUCAGAAACUUUACUAUUUCCUUAAGAUUCCUGGUUCAUCUUAUUAUUCUAUUUAUAAGUCAAGCAAAUUUUGAUGAUCAUCUUGAUUAAUUUGGUUUAAUUUGCAGGCUUAGUCUAUUAAGCUGAUUCAAGUAUUUUAUACUUCACUUUUUCUAUUUCUUUUUUAAACAGUUCAAAGUUACAGCUAAUAACCAAAACUUUCUAAAAUAUCUAAACAAUUCCAGAAAAAAAUAAUAAAUUACAUGUGGUGAAUCUAAAACUAUUUACCAUAUAUAUAUAUGUGUGUGUGUGUGUGUGUGUGUGUGUGUGUGUGUGACUAGGUCAACUUUGCUGUACAUUAGAAAUUGACAGAACACUAUAAUGGAAAAAAUAAAAAUCAUUAAAAAAUAAAUAAAACUAUUUACCAAGAUUAAAUACCAUUUUAAUUUUCAAACAGAAAAAGUCUAAGGAUAAUUGCUCUAUGAACAUAGUUUAAUCUGUCAGAUCCUUUGAAGUUUCAAAUUCUUUUGAACAUUAGAGAGAUAAUUUAAAUAUGAAAUAUAAACUCCUAAAUUCAAAUUAAGUCCCUAUCAUUUUGUAACUUCUUUGAUUUAAAAGCAAGUGAAGAUUGCUUGCAUUAAUUUGGGAUUUAAAAAAAAUUCCCCUAUAAAGAACCCUAUGGAAGGUAGAUAUUAAAUCUUACAUGGGGUAUUAAGGUAUUAAGCUGAAAAGAUAUUUAUCCUAGGAUUCCCAAGGUCCACGGGUAAUUCUAGAUUUCCAUGAAAUGUAGUUUAUAAAUGUAGUUUUUGUGCCAAAUUUGAGCUAUAACUAUUCAGAAUGGAGAAGGCUUCUGGCUCCUGGGAUUACCAGUUUUUUCAAAAAUUGAGGUAAGAUCCAUAUAAUAUAGAAUUAAUCAUUUAAAGUAUAAAAAUCAGAGUUCCUGUCAUGGUGCAGUGGAAACGAAUCUGACUAGGAACCAUGAGAUUGCAGGUUUGAUUCCUGGCCUCACUUAGUGGGUUAAGGAUCUGGUGUUGCCAUGGGCUGUGGUGUAGGUCGCAGGUGCGGCUCAGAUCUGGCAUUGCUGUGGCUCUGGUGUAGGCCUGCAGCAACAGCUCCAAAUGGACCCCUAGCCAGGGAACCUCCAUAUGCUGUGGGUGUGGCCCU